AGGACAAUUUUGAGUCGAUUUAACCAAGGAUGACGAGGGAUGAACAAGGAUGUAGAGCGCUGAAGAGAAUUCUUCUGUAGGGUGAAAUCGAAAAAAUCUACAUACAGCAAUUCCAAGCAAAACAGAGAAUAUUGAAGAAUUGUAAUAUGUUAGCUGUUUCCAUCGUUGCCAUCAUGGUAUAGUGGUAAAGACUGAGGCCAUCAUGGGCGAAAGUUAUGGACCGUUCCCA